rnacentral:rRNA from 1 species
UACGAAGGGGGCUAGCGUUGCUCGGAAUUACUGGGCGUAAAGCGUGCGCAGGCGGUUCGUUGUGUCGGCGGUGAAAGCCCCGGGCUUAACCUGGGAAUGGCCGUUGAAACUGGCGAACUGGAGUGUGGCAGAGGGGGGUGGAAUUCCGCGUGUAGCAGUGAAAUGCGUAGAGAUGCGGAGGAACACCGAUGGCGAAGGCAGCCCCCUGGGCUAACACUGACGCUCAGGCACGAAAGCGUGGGGAGCAAACAGG